GAUGAACGCUGGCGGCGUGCCUAAUACAUGCGAGUCAAGCGAACGGACGAGAAGCUUGCUUUUCUGAUGUUAGCGGCGGACGGGUGAGUAACACGUGGAUAACCUACCUAUAAGACUGGGAUAACUUCGGGAAACCGGAGCUAAUACCGGAUAAUAUUUUGAACCGCAUGGUUCAAAAGUGAAAGACGGUCUUGCUGUCACUUAUAGAUGGAUCCGCGCUGCAUUAGCUAGUUGGUAAGGUAACGGCUUACCAAGGCAACGAUGCAUAGCCGACCUGAGAGGGUGAUCGGCCACACUGGAACUGAGACACGGUCCAGACUCCUACGGGAGGCAGCAGUAGGGAAUCUUCCGCAAUGGGCGAAAGCCUGACGGAGCAACGCCGCGUGAGUGAUGAAGGUCUUCGGAUCGUAAAACUCUGUUAUUAGGGAAGAACAUAUGUGUAAGUAACUGUGCACAUCUUGACGGUACCUAAUCAGAAAGCCACGGCUAACUACGUG
rnacentral:rRNA from 1 species